rnacentral:lncRNA from 1 species
CGGGGCAUCACCUCGGGCGCCACGGCAAAUGCCCCCGGACACCGCUUUUUCGCUGCGGCAUCGAUGGCGUCGUCCAUCCAUCGGCGCAAGGCGCAUGCGUCGGGCACACCGUCGCACUCUCCCGCAUACGCGUCGAUCAUGCGCCUGAGCACAGAGUGGUCGAUUUUGCAAAUGCUGCGUCCAGGGCAGUCGCGAAGCUGCGACGGCGUUAACUGUGCGCCCAGACCGGAAAUGGGUAUACCGCCGACAGGCCUUCCGCGGCGACACGUCUCGGCGCAGCCGACUACCAGGCGACAAAGGUGGGUGAGAUCGGUGAUCGAUUGGGCAGCGCCAACCAGAGCACCCGCCGCCAUCACGGCGUCGGGCACGUCAUCACGCGCGCUGGCGGCGACCCAGUCGAUAUAGGCCAAGAUCACGCAACGACGCGCGCGAUCGGCAAUGUCAUCGAUGCCGCAUGCGCCUAGGGCCUUGGCCAGUUGGCUCACCCGGUCCAACGUUGCCGUCGGACAUCGGGGCAGCCACGGCAGUGGCACGCGCGUAGCGGCGAUGGACUGGCGCGCGUGGGUGGCAAUAGAUGCGAGGCCGCCGAGCGCACUCGUAUCAGAACGCGCGACGUGGACCGCCACGAGACUCACGAGUUCGCGCGGCAGCAUGUCAAAGUAAGAGGAGGAGGCCAGAGACGCUUGGGGUGCCUCAAUGUCGUCAUAAAGGCCGUCGUCGUCGUCGUCGUGAUCAUGAUUAACGUAGCCGGCGUUGGUGGUGCCGCUAUCGCUGUCGCUUGUUUCAUCCAUCGCCCGGGCAGGAAAAAAAUGGUGCUUUUAUAGGAAAACAAAGGCCAAACCAAAAG